GGGGGCUGUUGCAAAGCUCUCUCAUGCACUUCACUCGGCAUGCUCUCUGGAGGUUUAGCACUGAUUCUGUGGAAGGCAGUACUCUUUUCCAGAAAUCCUGGAGAUGUUAAUGGGGGCUCAGCUUGGAACUGGGGAUCUCAAAUUCAACUUCAGAGACAACUUGAGAAGACCUGCAGUGAGUGACAGCUCAAGGCCUUGGCAAUGGCAUCACAGAACUUGAAACCAUUUGUCUGUUUAACCUGAGCACAGCCCCGUCAUGAUCAAGGAGUCGAUGGUGCCAGACUCAAGAAGGGAAUCCAAGGAUAUUGGAUUUUUUCACUUCUUAUGAUUCCUGAAGUAGAAAAAUACUUUCUGCCAAAAAUAACACUACCAAAUAACUUUCGACAGAAAUAGAGAGUUUCCUCAAAUCUUUUUCUAGAAACAUUUCAAUUCAUUAAUGUUGCUCCCUAA